ACCAGGCUGGCACAGGAUUGGAUAGCUCAUGGUCAGGUAAUCAGACCCUGUCACAUCAGUACUCCAGGUUAGACUCUGAUGUGGAGUGAGGCUUAGCUGGCCAAAUAAACACUGGAGCCUGAGCUUCUAAAAAUGAACAGAGGAUGCUGACUUUUAGGCCUAACCUCCAGAUUGCUGAACACAGUGAAGAAUCAAAUGCUGCUCACAGCUGAUUAUUGAUUACUCAGAGGAAUUCCUACUCAGAUGGCUAAUCAAGGCCGCUGUGGGAGGCCGGGGAGAUGUCUCAGCCCGGAGCGUCCGGUUGCCAGGCAACGCUCGACGCUCUCCUGGAUCACCGCCGGCGCCCAGCGGCAUGACGUCAUCGGCCAGCGCCCGUCACGGACGGACUCCAUGCGGGACGCCGCCGCUACCCGGCCUCUCUCAGCGACAGGGGGGUAUUUAGAAAAAGAAGCAUGGCGGAGAUUACAGCACAGUACUUCCGGGAGGCAUAAUCGCUGAGCAGCGGUGGCUAUCUUCUGUGUGGUUGCCAUGAAGGAUGGAGAUGGAGUGUGCUGGGGAGAGAGGCAGCUGCGGCGGUGACCAGUCCUCUUUCCUGUGAUGAAAGGAAGGGGAGCGCAGUCCACAUCCACCAGUUCUGACACCGGGGACUCCCCCAUGCAAUGAAGGAUUCACCAAGAACACAGCACACCAUGCUAUAGGAAACAUUGUAAAACAAAAUAAAUACUCCGGCCAAGGA